rnacentral:tRNA from 1 species
GCACCUGUGGCGGAACUGGCAGACGCGUAAGACUUAGGAUCUUAUUCUUUCAGAGUGGGGGUUCAAGUCCCUUCAGGUGCACCA